rnacentral:rRNA from 1 species
GAUCAUGGCUCAGGAUGAACGCUAGCUACAGGCUUAACACAUGCAAGUCGAGGGGCAGCGGGAUUGUAAGCUUGCUUCAAUUGCCGGCGACCGGCGCACGGGUGAGUAACGCGUAUCCAACCUUCCGCUUACUCGGGGAUAGCCUUUCGAAAGAAAAGAUUAAUACCCGAUGGUAUCUUAAGCACGCAUGAGAUUAAGAUUAAAGAUUUUAUCGGUAAGCGAAUGGGGUAUGCGUUCCAUUAGG